GCCCAUCCGGUGGAACACACUUCCGGGUGUCUGAGAACUUUGUAACAUUUUAGCCGGAGUUUGGUUCAUUUUGACACAUUUUAAAACGAGGAGCAACAAAAAGAAGAAGAAGAAGAGGAAGAGGAAGAAGUUUGUUUUCAACGUCGUGAAGGAGGAAGUAGAAGAGAAGAAGUGGGAGGAGUCACAUGAUGGAGGAGGCGGAGCCGAGAGGAGGCGUCACAGAGGAGGAGACUCCUCCGAGGGUGAGACAGGCAAAUACAACGUGUCAAUGGGAAGCAAACCGUAACCACAGCGACAGCAGCGUCACUUCCUGUCUGGCCGAGUCCUCGCCGUCGUCAGACGCCUCGCCGCCGCCGUCGGAGUCCUCGCCGCCGCCAUCGGAGUCCUCGCCGCCGCCAUCGGAGGCCUCGCCGCCGCCAUCGGAGGCCUCG